CUGUUUUCUUGUUGACUAUUUUCUUGCUGACUGUUUUCUUGUUGACUGUUUUUGCUGACUGUUUUCUUGUUGACUGAUUAUAGUUGACGUUUUCUUGCUGACUGUUUUCUUGUUGAUUGUGGUUGACUGUUAUCUUGUUGACUGUUUUCUUGCUGACUGUUUUCUUGUUGACUGUUUUCUUGCUGACUGUUUUCCUGUUGACUGUUUUCUUCCUGACUGUUUUCUUGUUGACUGUUUUCUUGUUGACUGUUUUCCUGUUGACUGUUUUCUUGCUGACUGUUUUCUUGCUGACUGUUUUCUUGUUGACUGAUUAUAGUUGACGUUUUCUUGC